GACGAACGCUGGCGGCGUGCUUAACACAUGCAAGUCGAACGGAAAGGCCCUGCUUUUGUGGGGUGCUCGAGUGGCGAACGGGUGAGUAACACGUGAGUAACCUGCCCUUGACUUUGGGAUAACUUCAGGAAACUGGGGCUAAUACCGGAUAGGAGCUCCUGCUGCAUGGUGGGGGUUGGAAAGUUUCGGCGGUUGGGGAUGGACUCGCGGCUUAUCAGCUUGUUGGUGGGGUAGUGGCUUACCAAGGCUUUGACGGGUAGCCGGCCUGAGAGGGGGACCGGCCACAUUGGGACUGAGGUACGGCCCAGACUCCUACGGGAGGCAGGAGUGGGGAAUAUUGCACAAUGGGCGGAAGCCUGAUGCAGCAACGCCGCGUGCGGGAUGACGGCCUUCGGGUUGUAAACCGCUUUCGCCUGUGACGAAGCGUGAGUGACGGUAAUGGGUAAAGAAGCACCGGCUAACUACGUG
rnacentral:rRNA from 1 species